AGAGUUUGAUCCUGGCUCAGAUUGAACGCUGGCGGCAGGCUUAACACAUGCAAGUCGAGCGGCAACAGGAGAAGCUUGCUUCUCGCUGACGAGCGGCGGACGGGUGAGUAAUACUUAGGAAUCUGCCCAGUAGUGGGGGAUAGCUCGGGGAAACUCGAAUUAAUACCGCAUACACCCUACGGGGAAAAGGGGGCGCUUGCGCUCUCGCUAUUGGAUGAGCCUAAGUCGGAUUAGCUAGUUGGUGGGGUAAAGGCCUACCAAGGCGACGAUCCAUAGCUGGUCUGAGAGGAUGAUCAGCCACACCGGGACUGAGACACGGCCCGGACUCCUACGGGAGGCAGCAGUGGGGAAUAUUGGACAAUGGGGGCAACCCUGAUCCAGCCAUGCCGCGUGUGUGAAGAAGGCCUUUUGGUUGUAAAGCACUUUAAGCAGUGAAGAAGACCUAACGGUUAAUACCCGUUAGCGAUGACAUUAGCUGCAGAAUAAGCACCGGCUAACUCUGUGCCAGCAGCCGCGGUAAUACAGAGGGUGCAAGCGUUAAUCGGAAUUACUGGGCGUAAAGCGAGCGUAGGUGGCUUGAUAAGUCAGAUGUGAAAUCCCCGGGCUUAACCUGGGAACUGCAUCUGAUACUGUUGGGCUAGAGUAGGUGAGAGGGAGGUAGAAUUUCAGGUGUAGCGGUGAAAUGCGUAGAGAUCUGAAGGAAUACCGAUGGCGAAGGCAGCCUCCUGGCAUCAUACUGACACUGAGGUUCGAAAGCGUGGGUAGCAAACAGGAUUAGAUACCCUGGUAGUCC
rnacentral:rRNA from 1 species